rnacentral:rRNA from 1 species
AGAGUUUGAUCCUGGCUCAGGACUAACGCUGGCGGCGUGCUUAACACAUGCAAGUUGAACGGGGCAAGUUUGUAGCAAUAUGAACUUGCUUAGUAGCGGACGGGUGAGUAACGCGUGAGCAACCUACCUUUGUGAGGGGGACAACAGCCGGAAACGGCUGCUAAUACCGCAUAAGGCCACGACUCCGAGUGGAGUUGAGGUAAAAGAUUUAUCGCACAAAGAUGGGCUCGCGUCCCAUUAGCUAGUUGGCGGGGUAACGGCCCACCAAGGCGACGAUGGGUAGCCGACCUGAGAGGGUGAUCGGCCACACUGGAACUGAGACACGGUCCAGACUCCUACGGGAGGCAGCAGUGGGGAAUAUUGGGCAAUGGGCGCAAGCCUGACCCAGCAACGCCGCGUGAGGGAAGAAGGUCUUCGGAUUGUAAACCUCUGUCCUAUGGGACGAAACAAAUGACGGUACCAUAGGAGGAAGCUCCGGCUAACUACGUGCCAGCAGCCGCGGUAAUACGUAGGGAGCGAGCGUUGUCCGGAAUUACUGGGCGUAAAGGGUGCGUAGGCGGCAUUGCAAGUCAGAUGUGAAAUCCCCGGGCUUAACUCGGGGGGUGCAUUUGAAACUGCGAUGCUUGAGUGCAGGAGAGGAAAGCGGAAUUCCUAGUGUAGCGGUGAAAUGCGUAGAUAUUAGGAAGAACACCAGUGGCGAAGGCGGCUUUCUGGACUGUAACUGACGCUGAGGCACGAAAGCGUGGGGAGCAAACAGGAUUAGAUACCCUGGUAGUCCACGCUGUAAACGAUGGAUACUAGGUGUGGGGGAGAUACAACCUCUGUGCCGGAGCAAACGCAAUAAGUAUCCCGCCUGGGGAGUACGGCCGCAAGGCUGAAACUCAAAGGAAUUGACGG